CACAGAUGUGCUCGAUUGUAUAAUUAAUAUUCCUUUAUUUAAUAUUUUGUUUUUCUUUUUUAAGUUUAUUUUGUAUUAUGUUAAUAAUAUUCAUUACUUUGUUGUGUCUCUUUAACCUCUUCUUACAUUAGAUUUAUUUUGUUAGUUGCAAUGUCCUUCCUUUUAUCGUUAUUAGUUCCAUUAUUAUUAUAUUUUUUUUUUUUUGUUGUGUUUUUUGAAUUUUUGUAAAUAUAACACAUUUAAAUGAAGGUAUUCAUUUUUUACAAUACUUGUUUAGAAUUGCGAUCUCAUUGGCUUGUGUAACAGAUGGUAGGUAAUUAAGUUGAAUUCUUUAGAUCAAUUGAAAACAUCUGUGCGACAACAAAAAUCAAUUAUGCCAAUGUGCAACUGAGAAAAGCAAAAGAACAUCAUACGAGUAAAACACCUUUCAAAUGCAUUCUGCUUUAGAUAUUUGGGAGGGUCGUCACCUAUUCCGCAUAACUUCUAGACGAGAGGUGUCGCUCUGUCGCACUUUGUAUGGACUGGGAAAUAUUACAUUCAAAUCGAACAGCAGCCUUAGACAUGAGAGGGAAUCUCCUACGCCGUGCCUUGAAACAUUCGAGGCAUAAAGCUUUUGCGCAAAUGUAUCGAGAUCCUCCGGAAGCUGUUAAUAUAUGAGAGGGUGGCCCAUAAACGUCGUAACAAGUUUUGCGGAUCGGAUCAACUUGUGCGUGCAAAAGUUGAACGAAUUUUAUUAUAUAGGGAACGUACAUGUGGCCUAUUUCGUCUGUUAUCUAAACAAAAUACAGAAUGCAACUCCCGAGCGCAUUAUGCCAAAAGCAACAUCAAUUUCAGCGUUUACUAACGUGAGUGUAUACAAUUCGAACAUGCAGUUUUAUUAUCCAGUCUUUUAUUGCGAAAUUUGAAAAUACGCAUACGCCGGUACCAUGUUCACUUUUCGCAGCAAUUUUUUCGCUACAUACUAUUUUCAUUAUGCAAAUGUGCCUCUCAAACCCGCCAGUUUUAGAAAGGGAAAACGACCGCUGAAAAAUGUAAUUAAAUUUUUCCAUCAAGAUUCGAACCCCUGCGUUCAGCGUCAUAGACGGGCAUACCAGCCUCUGCGUUACGGUAUAACGAUUCUAUUUUAAAGAUCUAUGCCCAAAUUCAAACUAAAUGCUAAACGCAGCUUUAAAACUUAAUGCAGUUUUUCUUUAUAAAUCUGUCGAAUGAACCUAUAGUACAGUCGGGAUAGAUGAAAACUCGAAGUCGAGUUAACGCCUCUUUCAUAUGAACACAUUUUCUUCUUCUUCUACCUCCAGAGAAAGAAUUAAUCAAUAAAAAUUUAAAAUUUUACUUAAAUAUUUUGAGGAUGUGUGAUCCUAAAAACCACAUAUGUACAAAUAUGUUACUCAAAAAUUGUAAAUUUCGUAAAAAAAUCAAUGCUUAAAGCCUUAUUUUCCCACCGCGGGUAAAUUGAAUUUUCCGAUUAAACUGAACAGGCGAUGCAACUAUCCUAUACUGUUAAGCUGCAUUAAGUUUUGUGAAUUCUGGUAUUAAUGUAUUCGAUUUUUUUGUAGACACAUUUGCCCAACAGGAAAAUACAAUUCUUUAAAAAAAAUUCACAUUUUUCCUGGUUGCCGAAGUCGAAAAUCGACAGCAGUCGUAGGCGAAUUUCACAUUUCCUGGUGUUCGGUAAUUUAUUUGCCUUCGACAGUUUAGUAGUAGCUUACAGUAAAUAAAAUAAUGAUCUUACACUUGUUACAAAUAUGUAAGCGCGAUUUUGCCACAUUUGUAAGUCGAAUUCGACGGAGGUGAUACCAAAAGUGAAACGAACAGAAUUUUCGUCUUCGACAACCGUAAUAUCAUUUUGUGAAAAUAUGGAAAUUUGACUAUGCCAUCGACAAUUGAAAAAAGAUGAUUAGUAUGUUCAAUUUUGAUGUCCUUUUUAAAAGCAGAAUUACGCUAGCGAAAAGUGAACAUGCCGACAAAUUAUAAUCACAUGGCGGCCGAACCUCAUGCGCAUUGUAGGUGUGAUCAACAUGACAAACCAAACAUCUAUUUGGGUAGAGAUACGAGUAUGCCACGCUAAAUGCAGAAAAGCAUCAGAAGACAGGAGUCCAUAAAAAAGGGCCAUAGUCCAUUGGAUAACAGAAGAUAAGCCGUUGAAGCCACUGCAGCAGAGAUGUACUCUGUGAACAAUUUUUUUGCGGUAUGUAGCACGAAGCGGAAAGGGUUUUCUGAAAUAGUAGCCCAUCAUGUGCAUUAUUUAAGUAAUUCAUCAAAGAACUCGUCGCGUUGCCUUUUGUUUGCAAAUAUGUACAUAUACUCGUAUUCAAGUUAUAUCUCUUCGAAUGAAUGCAACUAAUUAAACCUGGAAAGGCAUCCUUGUUUUGUUUACAAUAUAAUAGCCGUCGCACGUCGUCGUUUUGACGAAGGAUGGCUGCCCAGGGUUAAACAUUUAAGCGUGUUUUUGCCAGUAGAUGUCCUUAAACCUUUGUAAUAUGUUAAUGGGGGUGGUGGCAUGGUAGGGGAAUCGUGAAUUUGUGUUUUUUUUCGGAAACUCGAAGCGCUCUAAUUUGAAUGUGUUGGUUUUUGAAUUUUGCUUAUUGUAUGUUGCUAUAGCUCAUAAAAUUUGUGCUCAAGUGUGUUGUGUAAGAACAUGUCAUUGUGAUUAAUAUCUUGGCUUGUGUCCAGCAGGGGCCGGGUCCGAUCGGGCCGAUUGGGCAUCACACCGUGUUGGCGUUAGAUUGGUGCUGGCCACAAAAUAGUAAAUCUCAUGUACUCUGUUGCACAGGCGUGUCCUUAUAUUAUUAUUAUAAAAUAUAAUAUUGUACAUAUGCAUGUAUGUAGCUACAUAUGUAUGGGUAUUGGAAAUAGAAAUUCGAAAAAUUCGGAUGUGGAUGGAGGGCAUGGCAUUCAAAUGCAUUUGCAUGUAAAUAUGUAUAUAGUUCGACUUUGCCGAAUAUACAUUUUUGUUUUUGGGUUUCUUUAAGAUGGUGUACUUAAGUAUGGACAAUUUUAUUUGGGUUUCGUUUUUUGACGUUCCUCAUCGAACUCUUAAUGGACAAUCUUUUUUAGUUUUGUUUUUGUUUUUGUGUUUUUUUUAGGAAACGCAACAUUUGAAUAAAAAUAUUCCUGUUAUACAUAUGUAUGAUUGCUUGUUGGAUCUUACUUCCUGGGGUAAAGAUAAAAAGAGAAGCGAAAUUUGUAAUUGAACGAGCUGACAGUUUGGCCUUUGUAGGUUUUGUUUGUUCAAAGAUUAGCACGGUAUUAUGUAUAAACGCGCGAGCGCGUGUCUGUGUGUGUGUGUAUAUAUGUAUGAAUAUAUAAAAAUAUUAAGAAAUUUCGUGUAAAACACUUUAAUGUUUAAAAGAAUAAUAAUAAAAAACAUCUGGACGUUUUGUAAGAUUUGUAUGUUUUGCUUGCAUUUGCAUUUGCCUUUGGUAUUAUAGUGAGUUCAACACCCAUUCGUAGUUCAUUGGAAUACGAUAAAUAGGUAUAUAAUUAUAAUAAAUGUUAUUGUUGCAGUUAUACUUUUGUUUGUUUCAAAUCAUCAACUCUUGUAUGGAUGGAUACUUACGUAGAACAGUUUUGUUGUUUAUUUAGUAUUUCUUUUUUCUUCUUUUGUUUCACAUUACUUUCGCUUCGAUUCGAUUUUUUUCUUCAUGCUGCGGAAUACCUUAGCAGUGGGGAGUAACCGUUAGUUAGUGUUGUUGCUUGGUUUUGAAAGUUUUUGUUUUUUUUGUUUUCUUUUGUAAAUCUUAAAAUAUGUCUGACGUCUCUACUUGAAGAUUUCUAAAGGGUCGGAAACUUAUUUCGCUUCUUGUGUUCUAGAUUGUUUUUCCUACACUAUAGUCUAUACGACGAUCCUGAUAAAUGCUCUUUUAAGCUGCUGCGUUCUGCAAUCAACGUUCACUCCAGUGUCUACUAAUGCGCUGCGCCACUACAUCUCGUUUGGGGAUAGGUUCUUGUUCUGGUUAUUUAGAUCUACUAAAUACACUGAUGGCUGCUGGCUUGUCCUAAUGCUAUCGAUAAAUCCAAUAGCCAUCGCCUCUUCUUGCCUAAUUUAUAGAGUGCUAUUAUUGCUUAUCUAGAUUAUGUAUCGUCGUAAUAAUAAUAGUAAUUCGUAAUAAUAUGUAGUAAUAAUACAAGAUAAAUUUUUACUUUUCGUUUUUGUUUCUCUUUUUACGGCUUAGUCAUCAAAUCUGCUCCGAUCAAUUUAAAAUGACACAAACAUUUUUGUGGUGUUAUUGAAUGAACAUUGUACGUUCAUUCUUCUUCUCUCUCUCUCUCUCUCUCUCUAAACCACACACGCACACACACACACCUCUUACUAAAUCAUCUCUUGAAGCAACGUUUGUUCAAUAACACCCAACUAUAUUGCGAUCUGGUGCUUUGGUAUGUGGUGUGUGCGGAUAAUAAUUAAAAAUCCUUUUUUUGUUGUGAGAUUUAAUGCAACUUAUUACUAAAGACUAAAGUUAUGUUAUUUUUUUUUAAGAGUUUUAAAAAAUAUUGCACACAUUGACUGACUUAAGCAUACGUAAAGGGAAGGGGGAGAGACAUAUAUGUAUUAGAUAUGUGGAUGGGAGGAGGGCGGGGAGGGCGCGGAGGAGUAGGGACGACACCAAAAAUAAAACAACACAAGGUAAUCAAAUCAAAUCAACACAAAACAAAACUAAAUAAAAAUAAUAACAAAAUUUCAUAUUGCACUUUGAAAAUUAAAAUUUUCAUAGUUUUAUUGCAAACAAAAAGAGGAAUUUUUUCAAGUCAAAAACCUUGACGGCCUUGGCUUUAGAUCACAUUAAAAUCCAUCAUACAUUGUAACUGUAAUAUACUCUAGAAUAAUUGUUGUAUAUAUAAAAGAAAUUACAUAUAAAUAUCUUAUAAUGCAUAAUAAAUCGUUAAAUUAGAACAACUUUCGUAUGUAUAAUGAAAAUAGAGAAAAAAAUAUUAAAACUUUACUUGCGCUGGUUUAAUAUUUGCGUUUGUAUGAAUUCCAAGUUGUAAAAGAUUUCAUCAUUUGUCAACACUUAACACACUUACUAUUCUUACAAUAUCCCAAGGGGGAGGGCACGUAAAAAAAUUAAAAACUGACUGGCUAAUUCGUUGCUUACUUCAAAAGAAAAAAAAACAGAACUAUUAAAAAUGGAAUAUAAAAUAACACAAAAUAAAAGCAUCACAAUGAUCGUAUGUAAGGUAUAAUUACAUAAAGAUUUUACAAUAUUCGGCAUAAGAAAUAUGAAAUACAAAAAUUGUCUAUAACUAAGAAAUCGA
rnacentral:sRNA from 1 species